UACGGAGGGGGCUAGCGUUGUUCGGAAUUACUGGGCGUAAAGCGCGCGUAGGCGGACCUGCAAGUCGGGGGUGAAAGCCCGAGGCUCAACCUCGGAACUGCCUUCGAUACUGCGGGUCUCGAGUCCGGGAGAGGUGAGUGGAAUUCCUAGUGUAGAGGUGAAAUUCGUAGAUAUUCGAGAAGAACACCAGUGGCGAAGGCGGCUCCACUGGCCCGGUACUGAC
rnacentral:rRNA from 1 species